rnacentral:tRNA from 1 species
GUUAAUGUAGCUUAAUAAUAAAGCAAGGCACUGAAAAUGCCUAGAUGAGUUGCACAAACUCCAUAAACA